GACGAACGCUGGCGGCGUGCUUAACACAUGCAAGUCGAACGAUGAAGCCCUUCGGGGUGGAUUAGUGGCGAACGGGUGAGUAACACGUGGGCAAUCUGCCCUUCACUCUGGGACAAGCCCUGGAAACGGGGUCUAAUACCGGAUAACACUGCGGACCGCAUGGUCUGCGGUUGAAAGCUCCGGCGGUGAAGGAUGAGCCCGCGGCCUAUCAGCUUGUUGGUGGGGUAAUGGCUCACCAAGGCGACGACGGGUAGCCGGCCUGAGAGGGCGACCGGCCACACUGGGACUGAGACACGGCCCAGACUCCUACGGGAGGCAGCAGUGGGGAAUAUUGCACAAUGGGCGAAAGCCUGAUGCAGCGACGCCGCGUGAGGGAUGACGGCCUUCGGGUUGUAAACCUCUUUCAGCAGGGAAGAAGCGAAAGUGACGGUACCUGCAGAAGAAGCGCCGGCUAACUACGUGCCAGCAGCCGCGGUAAGAC
rnacentral:rRNA from 1 species